rnacentral:lncRNA from 1 species
UCGGUUCUGAAAACUAAAGAAUUCAUAUAUUGCUAGAUAGACUAUGAUUUAGGAUAUGCUAAACAGAAAGCUUUAUAAGAUGGAACUAUCAAUUCAUCAUGACUUCACUUUGUCCUUUAAUUUAAUUUAAUUUAAUAUGGUUAGAACUACCAUGGUUUUUUAAGUAGUUGGCGCAUUAAGAAACAGUAUGCUGGAUGUUUGGCCUUGCAUUCGUCCUUCCAUGAAUUCAUGCUUGUACAUUGCUAGUUAUUGAUUUUUUUGCAAGUCUUCUUCUUCCUCGAUCUUGUGCAGCAGCAACAAUUCAAGGUCAUGGUCAUGGAGCAGCAGCCAUAUAUUUUUCUUCUUAUUCCUCCCUGAGAUGACAUGAGAUGAGGUUUGUUUUCCUCAAGGUCAAGGUGCAGCAGCUCGAUUUGAUUUGAUGUGAUUGGAUUCAGUUUCCUCAUGCUUCUCUGUUUGCAUUGCAGGCUCUGUUGGUCGGUCUUCAAUUCUUCAUGCUGUUGCUGCUACUGCUACAUGAGGACCCUCUUCAAUUCUGCAUCCAUUGCGGCCGCCGCAGCUUCCACCUCUACCCGGCCGCAUUCGCAAGUGUAAGCUCCCCCUCCCUCCGUCCUAGAUCUCUAGGUCUGUUGCUGUCAUGCGCCAUGUUCUUGAUGUUGCGCGACCUAAUGUGGAUGCCACGAACGGCGCUGCUCCUGUGUGCAGAUUUGAUUCACCGCAUUAGUAUGCGGUUGUUGUCUCGUCGUGGUUGCUCAAACUGAGAUGUACCCAGUUGAUUCGUCAUCUCGGGUCAUAAAUUUUUCUGCAUUCCCUGUUGCUGUAGCUUGUUGGAUGCAUAGUUUGAUCUCCCAAUGGGAAUUAUUAGUGAAUGGUGAUGUCUGUGGUCACGAGAAUGGUGAUGUAGUAGCUGGUAUGCUUGAUGCGUGUAAGUCCAUCUCUUUACUGUUUUGCUAGAACCAUAAAUCCUGAUGCGCAUGAUGAUCAUGGUCUGAUUUGUUAGAUCUAUUCUGCUGGUGCUUAAAAUUUGACAUGCCUGGAUUCUAAAACAAAUUUUACAGCAUUCUAUGUUGUAGCCAAACACUUGCUCUGUAUUUUAUAUUAAAACCAUGGUAUUGUGUACCUGCCAACUACGAGUAAAUUACUGAAGUUUUUAAUACUUUGGUUUUUUUGAUACUUUUUUUACAGAAAGGCAAUGGUCUGUAGUGAACUGAAGAUAGGAAAAAUGAUAUGUAAAUGCACUUUGAUCUGCUCAGUAGGAGCAAGAUGGAGUCGCUGGAGCAGAGCAGUCGAGUCUGCAUUUUGUUCUUCUGUCAGACAGACAUCCACAUGUUGUACCGAUUCUUAGUUCAGAGAUAGGAAUGUAUAAAUGGUUGCCGAUCUCUCCAUGCAUGGAACAGUAGCUUUUUAUGUAGGAUCCUUUCCGUAUAGAUGAGUCACAACAUUGAUUUGUUGAUCCAUUUGGAAACUAAAAGAAAGUACAGAGAGGACGAACUUGUUGGUAGAACUUCAUCAUAUUCAGCAGACGGAGUCCACGGGUGUAGCAUUUUGUCUAGUACACCCAACACCACCUGAGGAUCCAAUUCACUGUUAGAAAGUUAGAAAUUGAUAUUACAGGUUCCUUAUAGUGCAAACCAAAGCUGCUACUCCAACAACCAUCAAAUGAAACCAUGUUUUCUAAAAUUAAAGGGUCUGAUUGAUAUUGGUCCUUCUUUUGACAGAUAUAAUAUGUAUACUGACUUGUUAUUUUCUUCUCUAGCAAGCACUACGGCGUCAACUUUGUGGUGGCCGACGCGACGGCCAUCGAGCAUGACUUCUUCCCCAAGAACAACCUCAGCGUGGACAUCACGCCGUAGUACAUCAUGAUGGAGCUUGGCUAGAUGUACACAUAUUUUUUUACAACCUCUGCGUGCAUAUUUUUUUUACAAUGCACCAAAGUUUCUUGUUUCUGUUGUGAAAGUAAUGUAAAUGGUGUUACAUAGUUCUCAAUAAAAAUGCAAAUAACUUGUGAAUUUGUCUUCAUGUUGUAUAAGUCUCGACAAAGUUAAUUUGCAUAAUCCUUGACCUCCUCCUGCAAUCUCUCUUUCUCCCUUUCUUCUUUGAAUUUCCCGGUGUUGUAUAAGUCUGCAAGAUUCAGAUUUUAAGAGUACUUGCUCCCUGUACUAGUUACUUCUACUAUUUAUUUUUAGCUGUUUAGUACUACUCUGUAGAUCUGUGAUACUAGUCUAGUCGCUUGUAUAAUUUUGUUUAAUGGUGUAACCUGAAACAUUGAGUAGUACCCUGUUCGCAUAUGUGUGAUUAUGUGUGUUCUGUAGUCUCUAGCUCCAGUACAUGUGAACUAUAUGUUGUGGUGUAAAUCAUUUUCAUUCUAUCUUAUAAACGUGUUUCUUCAAUAGCUAUUUUUGUUCAAGUCUUGUUGUCAUUGAUGUUAGCAUUUAGUUUGUCUCAAGUAAAAAAAAUACUAAAAAUACAGUGAAGAUAAUCUGAACCUCCCUAUGUAAAAUUUAGUUUGUCUAUAAUACUACUAGGAGAUGGGUGAGGGACUGAAAGGAUGAUAUGCUUCCAUGAAUUUAUUUGUAAGAAUUUUUUCUUGGCUCUGUACAAAUCAGCACAAAUAUGUGAGCCUCGGUUCUGAAAACUAAAGAAUUCAUAUAUUGCUAGAUAGACUAUGAUUUAGGAUAUGCUAAACAGAAAGCUUUAUAAGAUGGAACUAUCAAUUCAUCAUGACUUCACUUUGUCCUUUAAUUUAAUUUAAUUUAAUAUGGUUAGAACUACCAUGGUUUUUUAAGUAGUUGGCGCAUUAAGAAACAGUAUGCUGGAUGUUUGGCCUUGCAUUCGUCCUUCCAUGAAUUCAUGCUUGUACAUUGCUAGUUAUUGAUUUUUUUGCAAGUCUUCUUCUUCCUCGAUCUUGUGCAGCAGCAACAAUUCAAGGUCAUGGUCAUGGAGCAGCAGCCAUAUAUUUUUCUUCUUAUUCCUCCCUGAGAUGACAUGAGACGAGGUUUGUUUUCCUCAAGGUCAAGGUGCAGCAGCUCGAUUUGAUUUGAUGUGAUUGGAUUCAGUUUCCUCAUGCCUCUCUGUUUGCAUUGCAGGCUCUGUUGGUCGGUCUUCAAUUCUUCAUGCUGCUGCUGCUACUGCUACAUGAGGACCCUCUUCAAUUCUGCAUCCAUUGCGGCCGCCGCAGCUUCCACCUCUACCCGGCCGCAUUCGCAAGUGUAAGCUCCCCCUCCCUCCGUCCUAGAUCUCUAGGUCUGUUGCUGUCAUGCGCCAUGUUCUUGAUGUUGCGCGACCUAAUGUGGAUGCCACGAACGGCGCUGCUCCUGUGUGCAGAUUUGAUUCGCCGCAUUAGUAUGCGGUUGUUGUCUCGUCGUGGUUGCUCAAACUGAGAUGUACCCAGUUGAUUCGUCAUCUCGGGUCAUAAAUUUUUCUGCAUUCCCUGUUGCUGUAGCUUGUUGGAUGCAUAGUUUGAUCUCCCAAUGGGAAUUAUUAGUGAAUGGUGAUGUCUGUGGUCACGAGAAUGGUGAUGUAGUAGCUGGUAUGCUUGAUGCGUGUAAGUCCAUCUCUUUACUGUUUUGCUAGAACCAUAAAUCCUGAUGCGCAUGAUGAUCAUGGUCUGGUUUGUUAGAUCUAUUCUGCUGGUGCUUAAAAUUUGACAUGCCUGGAUUCUAAAACAAAUUUUACAGCAUUCUAUGUUGUAGCCAAACACUUGCUCUGUAUUUUAUAUUAAAACCAUGGUAUUGUGUACCUGCCAACUACGAGUAAAUUACUGAAGUUUUUAAUACUUUGGUUUUUUUGAUACUUUGCUGUUCGAUUUACUUUUAUUUUGUCCCUAAACAUUUUGUUCUACAAUGUGCAGAUGCUGGCAUUUCAUUCAGGACAAAGAAGUUGGAUAAAGCAUAGUUUUACCUCAUUGAGAUAGUUCUGGGAGUAACGAACUCCUUGUAGCAGAACUUGUACGUGUGCUAGUUCUGGGAGCUGAUCCUAUUUGUGUGUUAUAUGAUGUAGCAGAACUUGUAGGGCUCCUGUGAUAGACUUGGGCUGUAUGUGGGUUAUCUAAUUGUAAACUUGAUGCUGAUCACAUUUUUAUGUAUGUUAUAUGAUGUAGCAGAUUGCUUCCUGCUGUUAUUUGAAAUAUUGUGUCUGUUUUCUG